GACGAACGCUGGCGGCGUGCUUAACACAUGCAAGUCGAACGAAGUGGCGAACGGGUGAGUAACGCGUAAUCAACCUGCACUUCAGAGGGGGACAACAGUUGGAAACGACUGCUAAUACCUCAUACUGAAGGAGGGGAUUGCGUCUGAUUAGCUCGUUGGCGGGGUAACGGCCCAGCAAGGCGAUGAUCAGGAGCCGGUCUGAGAGGAUGAACGGCCACAUUGGGACUGAGACACGGCCCAGACUCCUACGGGAGGCAGCAGUGGGGAAUCUUCCGCAAUGGACGAAAGUCUGACGGAGCAACGCCGCGUGAGUGAUGACGGCCUUCGGGUUGUAAAGCUCUGUUAAUCGGGACGCGGUACCGGAAUAGAAAGCCACGGCUAACUACGUGCCAGCAGCCGCGGUAAUAC
rnacentral:rRNA from 1 species